UACAGAGGGGGCUAGCGUUGUUCGGAAUUACUGGGCGUAAAGGGCGCGUAGGCGGCCCGCUAAGUCGAACGUGAAAUCCCCGGGCUCAACCCGGGAACUGCGUCCGAUACUGGCAGGCUUGAAUCCGGGAGAGGGAUGUGGAAUUCCAGGUGUAGCGGUGAAAUGCGUAGAUAUCUGGAGGAACACCGGUGGCGAAGGCGGCAUCCUGGACCGGUAUUGACGCUGAGGCGCGAAAGCAUGGGGGAGCCGAACAGG
rnacentral:rRNA from 1 species